AACGAACGCUGGCGGCAUGCCUAACACAUGCAAGUCGAGCGAGACCUUCGGGUCUAGUGGCGCACGGGUGCGUAACACGUGGGAACCUGCCCUUAGGUUCGGAAUAACUCCCCGAAAGGGGUGCUAAUACCGGAUAAUGUCUUCGGACCAAAGAUUUAUCGCCUUUGGAUGGGCCCGCGUUGGAUUAGCUAGUUGGUAGGGUAAAAGCCUACCAAGGCGACGAUCCAUAGCUGGUCUGAGAGGAUGAUCAGCCACACUGGGACUGAGACACGGCCCAGACUCCUACGGGAGGCAGCAGUGGGGAAUAUUGGACAAUGGGCGAAAGCCUGAUCCAGCAAUGCCGCGUGAGUGAUGAAGGCCUUAGGGUUGUAAAGCUCUUUUACCCGGGAUGAUAAUGACAGUACCGGGAGAAUAAGCUCCGGCUAACUCCGUG
rnacentral:rRNA from 1 species